rnacentral:rRNA from 1 species
UACCAGCACCCCGAGUGGUCGGGACGUUUAUUGGGCCUAAAGCAUCCGUAGCCGGUUCUACAAGUCUUCCGUUUAAUCCAACUGCUUAACAGGUGGGCUGCGGAAGAUACUAUAGAGCUAGGAGGCGGGAGAGGCAAGCGGUACUCGAUGGGUAGGGGUAAAAUCCGUUGAUCCAUUGAAGACCACCAGUGGCGAAGGCGGCUUGCCAGAACGCGCUCGACGGUGAGGGAUGAAAGCUGGGGGAGCAAACCGG